GGAUGGGUUGCAUUACGCAUUUACACUGAUAUUGUAUUGGGCUUAUGCCCACAAUGCUACUGUAUAGGGCUAAGGCCCAGACUGUACUGUUACUGAAUAGGGCUUUGGUCCAGACUGUACUGAAACUGUGUUGUUUACUGUAUGUUUGUUAUUAGGAUUACACACUGAGUUUUCGUAAACUCACUUUAUUUCUAACCGUAUAGGUAAUCCCUAAAGCUUAGAUGAUUUGGAGCUGCAAGGGACUCGGG
rnacentral:lncRNA from 1 species